rnacentral:rRNA from 1 species
GACGAACGCUGGCGGCGUGCUUAACACAUGCAAGUCGAGCGGUAAGGCCCUUUCGGGGGUACACGAGCGGCGAACGGGUGAGUAACACGUGGGUGACCUGCCCUCAGCUCUGGGAUAAGCCUGGGAAACCGGGUCUAAUACUGGAUAUGACUCCAUGACGCAUGUUGUGGGGUGGAAAGCCUUGUGCGGCUGAGGAUGGGCCCGCGGCCUAUCAGCUUGUUGGUGGGGNGAUGGCCUACCAAGGCGACGACGGGUAGCCGGCCUGAGAGGGCGACCGGCCACACUGGGACUGAGACACGGCCCAGACUCCUACGGGAGGCAGCAGGUGGGGAAUCUUGCGCAAAGUGGGACGAAAGCCUGACGCAGCGACGCCGCGUGA